GUUCUUAUCCCAUUUGAGACCAAAGUUCAACAAGUCUUUCUUGUCACUUCUAAACAUUCUUCAUGCAUCUCUAGCAGUUGUAAUCAAUCAAAUUCAUUGUAUUAUAACAUAUUCUAACCUAAAAUAACUUUAUACAAGCCAUUCACUGCCUCAAAGCAAUGGUUUUGGGUUCUUAUCCCAUUUGAGACCAAAUUUCAACUAGUCUUUCUUCUCACUUCUAAACAUUCUUCAUGCAUGUCUAGCACUUGUAAUCAAUCAAAUUCAUUGUAUUUUAACAUAUUCUAACCUAAAAUAACUUUAUACAAGCCAUUCACUGCCUCAAAGCAAUGUUUUUGGGUUCUUAUCCCAUUUGAGACCAAAUAUCAACAAGUCUUUCUUCUCACUUCUAAACAUUCUUCAUGCAUGUCUAGCACUUGUAAUCAAACAAAUUCAUUGUAUUAUAACAUAUUCUAACCUAA
rnacentral:lncRNA from 1 species